rnacentral:rRNA from 1 species
GACGAACCGUGCGAACGUUGUUCGGAAUCACUGGGCUUAAAGGGCGCGUAGGCGGCUCAUCAAGUCGGGGGUGAAAUCUUUCGGCCUAACCGGAAAAGUGCCUUCGAUACUGGUGAGCUUGAGCGAGGUAGGGGCAGAUGGAACUUCCGGUGGAGCGGUGAAAUGUGUUGAUAUCGGAAGGAACGCCGGUGGCGAAAGCGAUCUGCUGGACCUCUUCUGACGCUGAGGCGCGAAAGCUAGGGGAGCAAACAGG